UAGAGCUUCUCUCAGCUGGAGGAGUUUACUGGGAUGAAGCUGGCAGCAGACACACUGGCGUUAUUUGGCCAGGUUAUAGUUGUGUGUGUUUAGCAGACUGUCAGUGGAAACCAGGCAAUGAAAGGAUUAACUGUCAGACUUCUGAAAACUACAAGCAAGGCUUUCUUGCUGCAGGUCAGAGACUGGAAUAAGGUGUCAUUCAGACUGGAGCUUCUUUCAAGGUUAUUUAAAAAAUGCACAAGCUGUUGGAUUUGGGAUGAGACCAGCCUGACCAACGCAAGGUGAAAAAGAAAAAG
rnacentral:lncRNA from 1 species